rnacentral:rRNA from 1 species
CAGGCCUAACACAUGCAAGUCGAACGGCAGCACAGAGGAGCUUGCUCCUUGGGUGGCGAGUGGCGGACGGGUGAGGAAUACAUCGGAAUCUACUCUGUCGUGGGGAUAACGUAGGGAAACUUACGCUAAUACCGCAUACGACCUACGGGUGAAAGCAGGGGAUCUUCGGACCUUGCGCGAUUGAAUGAGCCGAUGUCGGAUUAGCUAGUUGGCGGGGUAAAGGCCCACCAAGGCGACGAUCCGUAGCUGGUCUGAGAGGAUGAUCAGCCACACUGGAACUGAGACACGGUCCAGACUCCUACGGGAGGCAGCAAUGGGGAAUAUUGGACAAUGGGCGCAAGCCUGAUCCAGCCAUACCGCGUGGGUGAAGAAGGCCUUCGGGUUGUAAAGCCCUUUUGUUGGGAAAGAAAUCCAGCCGGCUAAUACCUGGUUGGGAUGACGGUACCCAAAGAAUAAGCACCGGCUAACUUCGUGCCAGCAGCCGCGGUAAUACGAAGGGUGCAAGCGUUACUCGGAAUUACUGGGCGUAAAGCGUGCGUAGGUGGUUAUUUAAGUCCGUUGUGAAAGCCCUGGGCUCAACCUGGGAACUGCAGUGGAUACCGGAUGACUAGAAUGUGGUAGAGGGUAGCGGAAUUCCUGGUGUAGCAGU